CCUGGAACUCACUUUGUAGACCAGGCUGGCCUCGAACUCACAGAGAUCCUCCUGCCUCUGCCUCCUGAGUGCUGGGUU
rnacentral:miRNA from 1 species